UACGUAGGCAGCGAGCGUUGUUCGGAGUUACUGGGCGUAAAGGGUGUGUAGGCGGUUUUCUAAGUUUGGUGUGAAAUCUCCCGGCUCAACCGGGAGGGUGCGCCGAAAACUGGGAGACUCGAGUGCGGGAUGGGAGAGUAGAAUUCCUGGUGUAGCGGUGAAAUGCGUAGAUAUCAGGAGGAAUACCGGUGGUGUAGACGGCUCUCUGGACCGCAACUGACGCUGAAACACGAAAGCGUGGGUAGCAAACAGG
rnacentral:rRNA from 1 species